GAUGAACGCUGGCGGCAUGCCUAACACAUGCAAGUUGAACGAGAACCUCUGGAACAAGUCUUCGGACAAGGGAAGGGACGGGAAGUAGCGAACGGGUGAGUAACGCGUGGGCAACCAACCUUACACAGGGGGAUAACGCAGAGAAAUUUGCGCUAAUACCGCAUAAGCGCACAGGAUCACAUGAUCCGGUGUGAAAAACUCCGGUGGUGUAAGACGGGCCCGCGUCUGAUUAGCUAGUUGGUGAGGUAAGGGCUCACCAAGGCGACGAUCAGUAGCCGACCUGAGAGGGUGAUCGGCCACAUUGGGACUGAGACACGGCCCAAACUCCUACGGGAGGCAGCAGUGGGGGAUAUUGCACAAUGGAGGGAACUCUGAUG
rnacentral:rRNA from 1 species